AGCUAGUUGGUGAGGUAAUGGCUCACCAAGGCGACGAUCGUUAGCUGGUCUGAGAGGACGAUCAGCCACACUGGGACUGAGACACGGCCCAGACUCCUACGGGAGGCAGCAGUGGGGAAUAUUGGACAAUGGGCGAAAGCCUGAUCCAGCAACGCCGCGUGAGGGAUGACGGCCUUCGGGUUGUAAACCUCUUUCAGUACCGACGAAGCGCCUUUAACGGUGGUGACGGUAGGUACAGAAGAAGGACCGGCCAACUACGUGCCAGCAGCCGCGGUAAUACGUAGGGUGCGAGCGUUGUCCGGAAUUAUUGGGCGUAAAGGGCUCGUAGGCGGUUUGUCGCGUCGGGAGUGAAAACCCAGGGCUUAACUCUGGGCUUGCUUUCGAUACGGGCAGACUUGAGGCAUUGAGGGGAGAACGGAAUUCCUGGUGUAGCGGUGAAAUGCGCAGAUAUCAGGAGGAACACCGGUGGCGAAGGCGGUUCUCUGGGCAUUACCUGACGCUGAGGCGCGAAAGCGUGGGUAGCAAACAGGAUUAGAUACCCUGGUAGUCCACGCCCUAAACGAUGGAUACUAGCGUCGGAGUAUCGACCCCUCCGGUGCCGCAGCAAACGCAUUAAGUAUCCCGCCUGGGAGUACGGCGCAAGGUUGAA
rnacentral:rRNA from 1 species